AAGAGCAACAAUUCGAGGGCUAUUUUGGCCGAAGGAUUGCCAUUGAUGCUAGCAUGAACAUCUAUCAGUUUCUCAUUGUGGUGGGGGCGGAUAGAGACUGAGAUGCUAACGAAUGAGGCUGGUGAAGUAACGAGUCACUUGCAAGGAAUGUUCACACGAACAAUUAGACUUCUUGAAGCUGGAUUGAAGCCGAUGUACGUUUUUUAUGGAAAGCCACCAGAUAUGAAGAAGCAAGAACUAGCAAAGCGGU